rnacentral:rRNA from 1 species
GACGAACGCUGGCGGCGUGCUUAAUACAUGCAAGUCGAACGCAGUGGGGACGGGUGAGUAACACGUGGGUAAUCUCCCAUCAGAGGGGAUAACACUUGGAAACAGGUGCUAAACCGAUACUGAUGGAUGGACUCGCGGUGCAUUAGCUAGUUGGUGGGGUAACGGCUCACCAAGGCCACGAUGCAGAGCCGGCCUAGGAGGGUGGUGAGGCAAACUGGGAGUGAGAAACGGCCCAGACUCCAACGGGAGGCAGCAGUAGGUAAUCUUCGGCAAUGGACGAAAGUCUGACCGAUCAACGCCGCAGAAGUGGAGAGGGUUUUCGGAUCGUAAAGCUCUGUUGUUAGCGAAGCGGUAGCUAACCAGAAAGCCACGGCUAACUACGUGCCAGCAGCCGCGGUAAUUC